GAUGAACGCUGGCGGCGUGCCUAAUACACGCAAGUCGAGCGAACGGACGAGAAGCCUGCUUUUCUGAUGUUAGCGGCGGACGGGUGAGUAACACGUGGAUAACCUACCUAUAAGACUGGGAUAACUUCGGGAAACCGGAGCUAAUACCGGAUAAUAUUUUGAACCGCAUGGUUCAAAAGUGAAAGACGGUCUUGCUGUCACUUAUAGAUGGAUCCGCGCUGCAUUAGCUAGUUGGUAAGGUAACGGCUUACCAAGGCAACGAUGCAUAGCCGACCUGAGAGGGUGAUCGGCCACACUGGAACUGAGACACGGUCCAGACUCCUACGGGAGGCAGCAGUAGGGAAUCUUCCGCAAUGGGCGAAAGCCUGACGGAGCAACGCCGCGUGAGUGAUGAAGGUCUUCGGAUCGUAAAACUCUGUUAUUAGGGAAGAACAUAUGUGUAAGUAACUGUGCACAUCUUGACGGUACCUAAUCAGAAAGCCACGGCUAACUACGUG
rnacentral:rRNA from 1 species